AAUAAAGCUUUGAAAAGAAGAGUACAUGUCACAGAUGUUUGCAGAGAGCCCUGUUUGCUGAAAAAGGGUAACGGAAAUGAGAUGGAAGAUGGUCUUAGAGCAGAGUAAGUGAGCCCAGGCAAACUUGCUACGGGAGUGCCCGUUACAGCACAACGGUAUGCGGGAAUGAUCAACAGAAUCUUCACUAAGUACUGGUAGAGGUUGUUAUUGUAAAAUAGCAGCGAAUCAAGGUGGUAACACGGAAGUAUAAGCUUUCGUCCUUUUG
rnacentral:ncRNA from 1 species